GUUGACUACAGCAACUGUUACAGUAUGGUACAGUUAGACACGCCAUCCUGUUUCAUUAUCGUCAUCUUCCUAGUUCUCUUGACUCACAAUCACAACACGCAGGCGUAUACUUUCCAAGGAUAUGCCACGGUCACCACAACUGUUACUGGCCGUCCGUUUUCCUUUUGUGAUUACAAAGGAAUACGGUGGACUAAGGGAACGAUCCGGUUUGCUAAUCACUGCGAGGAGGCGACUUGUGUUGGCGGAAGGAUGUAUGGUGUCGGAUAUGGUAUAAAUGCCGGGGUGAUGGUCUUAGAAGGGUGUUCUAUCUACAAGGACGGGUGUAAUCCGUUGCCAUGGACUGAAGUUAAUGGGGCAAAUGUCACGUGUUUUAGCCAUGAGCUAAUUCCAGGGAUGAAUGUCCAACACUAACUGCCUCUCCAGAAUAUCGGGUUAAGGAAGUGCUAUCGCUACUGAUCGCUUAGCCCCGAUGAUCGUCAACGAACUUCUCCUUACAGAAAACUUAAAAUGUCAUGCUACGACCCAUAUUCCGUUGGCUUACAAAUCAAUUAUCUUUUGGUGCUAUCUCCCGAAGCCCUUGGAUUGACCUCAAAUUCUUUGUGGUUCAUAAAUUCAAGCUUGUGUUGCGACACUAAGAUAGUAUAUAUUUAUACUGUUUUACUUCAGCAGAAAUCCUUAUUUAGAAAAUGUAUAGAUGAAAUAACCUGCAUCACUAAAUUUAAUGUUUUGAAAGUUAUUUUUGAUGUUAUUUUGAUAUUCUUAAAGUGUAUAAAAUACAUUUUGAUCGUCUUUUGGAUUGUUCAGAUAACAUACACAUGCCUGUUUAUGCAAUCGACGAUGCCUUCUUAAAAGAAAACGGGAAUCUUAUAGAGAUAUCACAAUCACUUGGUCAUAGUGUUAUAACCAAUUGUGAAUUUAAUUGCCACUUUUGCUGCUUUUAAGAUGAAAAACAUACGAUCUUAGAUACGAUAUUCCGACAUGGAUCAUGUAUAGACAAAGCUGACAUAUAUUCACUUAAACUAUGGAAAAGGUAAACUGUUGCAUUUGGAUAAUUUUACACAUUUUUAAAACAGCAAAUCAUGAUAUAUAAUGUGCCAUAAAUGUUUGUAUAUAUUAUAGCAUAUGAUAAACAUGCAUCCUCAUAUUAGGAAACCCUUGAUAAAUAUUUAACCGGAAAACAGAAAGCCUCCGUCAAGAAAACCAGAAAAGCGCGAUAGAAUUGAGCUUUGCAGUCCGGGAUGGAAGUAUUGAAGUAAACUGAAACAAAAUAUUUAUUUUAUUCUUCAUGGAAUAUUUCUAUCACAAUAUGUUGACGAUUAAAAGGAGUUUAUUUAAAGGUUAAUGUUUCGUUCAAUACAAAUAGUUUACUGUCUAUACAACUGUUAUUGAUUACACAAUAACUCCAUGCGCCAUCUGGUUGAAUUUGUUUUCAACACAAAUAAGAAAUUUAUAGCGGCCGAUAUUACUCAUCUGUGACGUGGAAGUACAGUGAUAAAAGAUAUGUCAAAUUAUAUUUUCCGGAACUUUAAUAACAAAGGGGCGCACUGUAGAUUUAUCUCUAAUCCUCAUCUUUGAAAAACGUUGAAGAAAGCUAACACACGAGAGCAGUAUUGACCCCCAUUUUGAUGUUUCUUAUCCAAUCGACGGAAGUAAGGCAUUCACACUACUUAUGUGUUGCACAAGCAAGCAUGUCUUUUAUCAUGGGGCUAAUAUACAUAACUAGUUACGGAGUGUAACUGUUGAAAAAAAUCAAUUCUGAAUUACAAUUUUGAGUUAUUUACAACGUCCGUUUUUGGGCAUAUACUGCAAUAACCAUACGUUUGCCUUCAGGAGAUCAAAAGAAAUGUGAUCUCUAAUACACUGGCAAUUUGCGAAUUUGAACAUCCUCAUCGGAGCCCCUUGCAGUACGCCAAACAUUGAUGGAUACAGUUAUUGGUUUUAUCUUACUGAUUUUAUACUUUGUUACAAAGAACGAUAUUCAAAAUCUUACAAACAUUACCUUAAGGAUCUUCGCUGAACUGUAGCGUAAAUAAAAGACAUUGAAA
rnacentral:lncRNA from 1 species